CCCUCCGUGAGAUGGCUUUGACUCCAUUAGCUUAGGUCUUGUAUGGAGUUGGCUUGUAGCAACUUUACAAGUGGCUACUGAUGCAACCAUGGUGCACACGGAGGAAGGGUGUCAAUGACUUGGCACCAUGCGGCGGUGAAUAUAGUGGUGCAAAGGCUGGACAUUAGUUUUUGAUUUGAAAUUGCGU